GGGAAGAGUAAGGAUACGUCGGUUCUGGGGAGUUGAGAAUAUGCCUUUCCCCCCUCAGUCACCUAAUUUUAAAAAACCAAACCAAACAUCUUUUAUUUUAAAGUCUAACCCUGGAAGUUUGCUCGAGUGAGGGCCUAAUUCUCCAUGUUGGCCGUUGAUCGCGGUGGAAGCUGUUGAGAGGUGAGGAAACUGACAACUUGAAGAAGAUACCUAGCUUUCCCAUGAGCCUCUAGUUGGCAAGUGGAAGAACUGGAGUGCUCCUGAGAUGUCAGGGCCAUAUCAGUUUCAAACAUCACUGUCAGGGUGGGAGCAACCGAAGUUGAAACGGCCUGAAUGCUAAAUGUAGCCCCAGAGCGGAAACUUUGCUUCAGAGUUGCAAAGUCGCUGGAAUAUUCAUAGAAAUGUAAUAUGAGCAAAGGAUACCAAGUCAGUGUCAAAACUUUGUUCCAAACCAUAUUUGCUAUUUGUGAGACUGGCUCCUCAGGGCUCGGCUGGAGAUAAGGUCUUCGGGGGACUGGAUGAUGCUCACUCGCCUUGGUGAGGCCAUCUUCUUUGCUCAGCCUGCAGAUCCAGAUGCUAAUCUCUCCAGAGACCCUCUCACAGACACACCCAGAACUAGUGUUUAACCAGCUGUCUGGGCAUUCCUUGGCCCAGUUGAGUUGACACGUAAGAUUAACCAC